GAUGGACAAGAGCAGAUUGAGGAAAACAGGAUGACAUGAGCAAUUAUGCAGCAAGUGUUGACAGAAAAACUGGAAGAAGUCAUCUCUUUCUAUCCAGAGGACCAGGAAAAGGGACCCAUGCGUUCCACAAAGCAGUGUCGGUUUCACGGAACUGUAGAAAAAGCACAAGAGGCAAGCACUCCAUCCUUCUGACCAGAGGAACUGGGAGAAAACAGGUCACUGUGAACCAAAGUGUGGCUGAGACACCAGAGAGAAAGGACUGGCAGUGAGGAUCCCUUGGGGCUCAUCUGCAUGAACCAACUUUAGGUCCAGGCUUACAUCCAAGGUGGGCACGUGGAGACAAGGCCCAAAGAAACAGCAGGGCUCCCAGAAUAAACUGCCCGGUGGGACAUUGACCAGGUCUAACUUCUGGGUCUUUGCCAUCCAGACCCAAACAGCAUAUUGAAGACUUCAGAAAUGAACUGAUGUUAGAACCCACGGAAGACAAGAUAGACUUUACAGUUUAAAACAAACCAGGUUGAUUGUCUGCUAAAAAAAUUACCUUCUCCAGAGGAUUUUUUCUUGC